rnacentral:rRNA from 1 species
UACGUAGGGUGCGAGCGUUAAUCGGAAUUACUGGGCGUAAAGCGUGCGCAGGCGGUUUUGUAAGCCAGAUGUGAAAUCCCCGGGCUUAACCUGGGAAUGGCAUUUGGGACUGCAAGGCUGGAGUGUGGCAGAGGAGACUGGAAUUCCCGGUGUAGCAGUGAAAUGCGUAGAUAUCGGGAGGAAUACCGAUGGCGAAGGCAGGUCUCUGGGCUGACACUGACGCUCAUGCACGAAAGCGUGGGGAGCAGACAGG